rnacentral:rRNA from 1 species
UGGGGAAUAUUGCACAAUGGGCGCAAGCCUGAUGCAGCCAUGCCGCGUGUAUGAAGAAGGCCUUCGGGUUGUAAAGUACUUUCAGCGAGGAGGAAGGCGGUAAGGUUAAUAACCUUAUCGAUUGACGUUACUCGCAGAAGAAGCACCGGCUAACUCCGUGCCAGCAGCCGCGGUAAUACGGAGGGUGCAAGCGUUAAUCGGAAUUACUGGGCGUAAAGCGCACGCAGGCGGUCUGUCAAGUCGGAUGUGAAAUCCCCGGGCUCAACCUGGGAACUGCAUUCGAAACUGGCAGGCUAGAGUCUUGUAGAGGGGGGUAGAAUUCCAGGUGUAGCGGUGAAAUGCGUAGAGAUCUGGAGGAAUACCGGUGGCGAAGGCGGCCCCCUGGACAAAGACUGACACUGAGGCUCGAAAGCGUGGGGAGCAAACA